GACAUUUGUUAGAGGGUGCAUGAGAGUGUUCUGAACCACUCAACUGAUUCGACCGAUCCCAAAUGACAGCUACGAUGAUAAACACCGCACCCAGCUGCUCCUUCCACCGCACCACCACUCUCACAACCUCUCAUUCUCUUCCAUUCACUCCCCUUCACCAUUCAUGUCUACACCACUGCCACUUCUCCUUCUGCACACAACCUCUCCGAUUAACCAACCUCCGCUGCCACACACUAUCGCCGUUAACCACCAAGACGCUCAAAGUGAAUUGUUCCAUCAGCGAUCCUCUGAAGGUGAUGAUAUCAGGUGCACCUGCUUCCGGCAAAGGCACGCAAUGUGAAUUAAUUGUCCAAAGGUUUGGAUUGGUGCACAUAUCAACUGGGGAUUUGCUAAGAGCAGAGGUGGCCGCUGGAACUGAAAUUGGGAAUAAAGCAAAAGAGUUCAUGAACGCGGGCCAACUGGUUCCUGAUGAAAUUGUGACAGCAAUGGUGGCAGCACGAUUGUCUCUCGAAGAUGCUAAGCAAAAGGGGUGGCUUCUUGAUGGGUACCCUCGAAGUUUGGGCCAGGCCCAGAGUCUGGAGAAAAUGCAGAUACGACCUGAUGUGUAUAUAGUAUUGGAUGUUCCUGAUGAAAUUCUGAUCGACAGAUGUGUUGGUAGAAGGCUUGAACCAGUGACAGGGAAGAUAUACCAUCUAACUUUUUUUCCACCGGAGACUGAAGAGAUUAAAGCAAGGCUGGUAACUCGACCUGACGACACUGAGGAGAAGGUCAAAUCUCGCCUCAACAUAUACAAGCAAAAUGCAGAAGCCGUAUCUUCAUCGUACUCAAAUACAAUUCAUAAGAUUGAUGGCAGCAAUUCAAAAGAAGCGGUUUUCAAUGAAAUUGAAUCUUUGCUAUCUCAAUUGCAACAUAAUAAAGUAAAGCUAGUGAAAUCUGGAGAAAAAUCAAUUCCUGAUUCAAAGAAAGGACGGACAUCUUUGAGCCAGGAUAAGUGGAGAGGGAUUCCUACUAGACUAAACAAUAUUCCCCAUUCUCGAGAAAUCAGGAAAUAUUUCUAUGAUGAUGUGCUACAAGCUACUGAGAGGGCUAUCAAUGAUGGUAAAACUAGGUUGAAGGUUGACAUCAACAUUCCUGAGCUGAACCCAGAAAUGGAUGUUUAUCGAAUAGGUACCUUGAUGGAACUUGUUCGAGCUCUUGCCCUCUCUUUUGCGGAUGAUGGAAAACGGGUUAAGGUUUGUGUACAAGGGUCGAUGGGAGAUGGUGCUCUUGCUGGAAUGCCGUUGCAGCUUGCUGGAACUCGUAAGAUUUUAGAGUUCAUGGACUGGGGUGAUUAUGGAGCAAAAGGAACCUUCAUCAAUAUUGGUUCUAUAGGUGCUGCUGAGGUUGGGGAGCAAGAUGACAUGUUUAUCUUGGUGGCUCCUCAAAAUGCUGUUGGGAAUUGUAUUAUUGAUGAUCUAAGAGCCAUGACCAACGCAGCUGAACACAGACCAGUUAUUCUGGUCAAUGCUAGGCUUAAGGAUUUGCCUGGUUCUAGUGGUAUAAUGCAAACGAUGGGGAGGGACCAGAGGCUCAAGUAUGCAGCAUCUUUUGAAAGUUGCUACUUCUUUCGACUUCUGUAUUAUGCAGGAACCCAGUAUCCCAUAAUGGGAGCUAUCAGGAAACUGUGGAAGAGGAUACUGUCGAUGAUCAUACCAUGGUCUAAAUCAAAAGUCACAUGAAUAGAAAAAAAGGAAGGUAAAGACAAUGUCAUGUCUUUUUGCUAGUGUUUUAAGACCAUAUUCACUAGAAUUAUGGCUUUCAAAAUAACAAAUGAAAUUUGGGAUUAUUUGAAGGAGGAAUACAUCGGAGAUGAAAGAGUAUGAAGCACGUGGGUGCUUAAUUCAAUGAGAGAAUUUGAAUUGUAAAUGAUGAAAGUGUUUUAGACAAUAAAGGAAUACUCAAAAAAAUUAUUGGAUAUUGCUCACUAGAUAAAGCUGUUGGGUAACAAUGUUGAAGAGGUACACAUCUAUAUCCUCAUUGGAGAAUACAAAUAAUAUGACUAAGAUUAUUGCAAAAGUGCUACAUUCUCUGCAAGCCCAACAACAGUGAAGGCUGAUGAGACAUUAUCAUGUUGUUGAAGGUACUUUGCAAGCCAAAAAAAAUAAUGAUGUUGAGAAGAAUUAAAAGAAAAUUUUCAAGCAAAAUCAGGCUUCAUUCAACACAAUAAACAACAACAUUAAAGACAAGGGAAAAAAAAAGAAAACGACUUUCAACCUUAUAAAAAUUGUAGCAAAAAAGGCCAUCCACCAUUCAGAUGUUGGAGGAGACUAGAUGCAAAAUGCUGCAAGUGAAACCAAAUGGACAUGAAGCUGUGGUUUUUCUCAACAAAAAUCACCAUGUUGAGCUUAGAUUGUUAAUCAAGAGGAGGAAGACCAAUUGUUUGUGGCCACUUGUUUCUUGAGCAAUGAAUCAAUUGAAAGUUGGUUGGUUGAUUGAUAUUGGAUGUACUAAUUACAUGAUCUUUGAUAAGGCACUCUUAACAGAUUUGAGGCCAACUAGUGUUAUCAAAGUUAGAAUUGAAAUGAUCUUAAUCAAAGGAAAGGGGACUACUGCAAUCACAAGUUGUAUCGGCACAAAACUUAUUUCUAACUUUGUUAGCAAGGAUGUUCACUUUGUGGUAGGUGAAGAAUGAAAUUGGGAUGAACCAAAGAAGAUUGAUCAAGCUUUUAAAGAUUUGUACCAAAACUUUCGCUCAAGUUUAGAAGAUGAAAGUUGGUAGAAUGAGUUAGUUGAUGAUGUUCCUAUAAGAGGUACUAGAUUGUUCUUUUUUUAUGUUUGUGACAAAUGUAGCAUUGUUGUAUGUGAACCUGCAAACUAAGAAGUAUAACAAAAGACUCUAAUUUGGGUUAUUGUAAUGAAGGUGAAGCUCUUAAUGAUAAGGAGAAAUCAAACCUAGUUUCAGAAAGACUACAAGACAAGGAAGUUAUUGAAAUCAAAUGGGUAUAUAAGACUAAGCUUAAUGUUGAUGGUUAUAUUAAUGAACACAAGGAUAGACUUGUAGUGAAGGGUUAUGCUAAAGUUUUUGAUGUGGAUUACUCAAUACAUUUGCACUAGUUGUUUGAUAAGACACCAUCAACUUGUUGGUUGGUGUAGAUGCUCAACAGAAUUGAAAAGUUUGUCAACUUGAUGUCAAAUUAACGUAUCAUUAUUAAAGACAGCUGUGGGUAAGUAUGAGGUUGAGGAGGAUCGCCCUACUGGUUGGAGGAUGAUAGAGCAGAAUUAUUAACUCCUGAAGGGAUCUUGGCUACUCGGGAAAACACAAAGAAAGGGAAAAUUAAGAAGCAAGUUCUUGUGCAGUGGAAGGGGAAAAAUGUUGAUGAAGCUACUUGGGAAGAUGAAGUGAUCAUUAGAAGUCAGUUUCCAGAAUUUAGCCUUGAGGACAAGGCUCUAUUUCAAGAAAGGGGUAUUGAUACAGACCCAAACCUUAUUGGGCUCAAUGAGCCCUUGAUCCAAGAAGAAAAGGUCAAGCACAGGUGGGGCAGAGUAUAUGAGAGGAAAAAGACUAGGAAGGGUGACGUGGUAUAGUAGGGAGGAAUAGGUUGGUUAGAAGAGAGAGAAAGGGGUGUGGUUGUUUUAAAAAGAAUCAGGAAGGAAGUUUUGAAAACAUUUAGUUGUUUUUCAGUAGAGAGGGAGCCAUUCUUGGUUUCUCUUAGGAGCUUGGCUUUGGGCAGUGAGAUAUUCAUAUCUUACUGAUUUUCUUGUUCUGCAGAAAAUAAAAAUCAUCCAUGUUCCAUUUGAGUCUUCAUUCAAUCUUUUUCUGUUCUUUUAAAAAAACCUUAUCAGGAAUACUUCAAGGUACUAUUUUGGCUUUGGAUUGAGUUUUUCUCAUGGAGCUCAAAAAACAAGAAAUUGUUGCCCAAUCUGCUUUAGAAGUUCAAUUUGAUGCUAUCACCCCUAUUGUCAACCUAGGAAAAACUAA